CAGCCGCCACGGGAAUACGAAGGGGGCUAGCGUUGUUCGGAAUUACUGGGCGUAAAGCGUACGUAGGCGGAUUGUUAAGUGAGGGGUGAAAUCCCGAGGCUCAACCUCGGAACUGCCUUUCAUACUGGCAAUCUUGAGUCCGGGAGAGGUGAGUGGAACUCCUAGUGUAGAGGUGAAAUUCGUAGAUAUUAGGAAGAACACCAGUGGCGAAGGCGGCUCACUGGCCCGGAACUGACGCUGAGGUACGAAAGCGUGGGGAGCAAACAGGAUUAGAUACCCCUGUAGUCCCUGUCUCUUAUAC
rnacentral:rRNA from 1 species